rnacentral:rRNA from 1 species
AGCUCCAAUAGCGUAUAUUAAAGUUGUUGCAGUUAAAAAGCUCGUAGUUGGAUUUCUGGUGUGAGGGAACGGUCCGACCUCUGGUGGGUACUUGCUUCCUCUCACGCCAUCCUUGAGUGGUGCGUUCUGGCAUUCAGUUGUCGGGACGUUAGCCGCUCAUCGUUUACUGUGAGAAAAUUAGAGUGUUCAAAGCAGGCUUAUGCCGUUGAAUAUAUUAGCAUGGAAUAAUAAGAUAGGACUUCGGUACUAUUUUGUUGGUUUGCGCACCGAUGUAAUGAUCAAUAGGGACAGUUGGGAGUAUUCGUAUUCAGUUGUCAGAGGUGAAAUUCUUAGAUUUACGGAAAACGAACUACUGCGAAAGCAUUUACCAAGGAUGUUUUCA